rnacentral:rRNA from 1 species
UACGUAGGGGGCUAGCGUUGUCCGGAAUCAUUGGGCGUAAAGAGCGUGUAGGCGGCCUGACAGGUCUGCUGUGAAAACUCGAGGCUCAACCUCGAGACGUCGGCGGAAACCAUCUGGCUAGAGUCCGGAAGAGGAGAGUGGAAUUCCUGGUGUAGCGGUGAAAUGCGGCAGAAUAUCUGGAGGAACACCGGUGGCGGAAGGCG